UACGGAGGGUGCAGGCGUUAUCCGGAUUUACUGGGUUUAAAGGGUGCGUAGGUGGAUUAGUAAGUCAGUGGUGAAAUACUUUCGCUUAACGAAGGAACUGCCAUUGAUACUACCAGUCUUGAAUACAGUGGAGGUAGGCGGAAUGCGUCAUGUAGCGGUGAAAUGCUUAGAUAUGACGCAGAACACCAAUUGCGAAGGCAGCUUGCUACACUGUUAUUGACACUGAGGCACGAAAGCGUGGGGAUCAAACAGG
rnacentral:rRNA from 1 species